rnacentral:misc_RNA from 1 species
GGAAGUAAAAGUGUAACAAGGUUUCCGUAGGUGAACCUGCGGAAGGAUCAUUAUUGUAUAACCGAGGUGCGAGGGCUGUCGCUGACCCGAAAGGUCGUGCACGCCCGAGUGCCCUCACACACAUCCAUCUCACCCCUAUGUGCACCACCGCGUGGGUCCCCCUUUGGCUUGUUCGGAGGGGGGCUUACGUUUUCACACAAACUUUGUAUGCAGUGUAGAAUGUAUUUUUUGUUUUUGCGGUCACGCAAUCAAUACAACUUUCAACAACAGAUCUCUUGGCUCUC